GGAUAUGAAGGCAAUCUGGCUGCAACAUCUGUCACCUCAUUGAUUGCCAGGGUUGGUUCGGCUGAUCCAGCUGGCUAGGUGGGUGUCCCCUUCCUCCCUCACCACUCAAUGUACAUCCCUCCUGAAGCUGUGCACUUGGUCGAAGAGGACAACCUUCCCCAAAUAAAGGAGGACCGGUCUUCAGUCAAGAAUAUACAAAUAUACAAAUAGCUGCAGUACCCUAUUAGAACCUACAAACAAGCUCUCAGGUCUCCAUGCUCAGGACACUGUCCUCAUAUAGGAAGAUGUAUGAGCACCCCGGGCUCCAU
rnacentral:snRNA from 1 species